UGGGGGAUAUUGCACAAUGGGCGAAAGCCUGAUGCAGCGACGCCGCGUGGGGGAUGAAGGCCUUCGGGUUGUAAACUUCUUUUGCUCUGAACAAGGCAUGCUAAUGGGUGUGUUGAGUGUAGGGGUUGAUUAGCGCCGGCUAACUACGUGCCAGCAGCCGCGGUAAUACGUAGGGCGCGAGCGUUGUCCGGAAUUAUUGGGCGUAACGGGCUUGUAGGUGGCUGGUUGCGUCUGUCGUGAAAGCUCAUGGCUUAACUGUGGGUUUGCGGUGGGUACUGGCUAGCUUGAGUGCAGUAGGGGAGGCUGGAAUUCCUGGUGUAGCGGUGGAAUGCGCAGAUAUCAGGAGGAAUACCGGUGGCGAAGGCGGGUCUCUGGGCUGUUACUGACACUGAGGAGCGAAAGCAUGAGGAGCGAACAGG
rnacentral:rRNA from 1 species